rnacentral:rRNA from 1 species
AGUUGGUAGGGUAACGGCCUACCAAGGCAAUGACGGGUAGGGGACCUGAGAGGGUGGCCCCCCACAAUGGAACUGAAACACGGUCCAUACACCUACGGGUGGCAGCAGUAGGGAAUAUUAGAAAUGGGCGGAAGCCUGAUCUAGCAACACCGCGUGUGCGAUGAAGGCCUUCGGGUCGUAAAGCACUUUUUGGAGGGAAUAGGAAGGAAGGUACCUCCAGAAUAAGUCUCGGCUAACUACGUGCCAGCAGCCGCGGUAACACGUAGGAGGCAAACGUUAUCCGGAUUCACUGGGCGUAAAGCGCGUGCAGGUGGUUUCGUAAGUAGGGCGUGAAAGCUCCCGGCUCAACUGGGAGAGGCCGUACUAAACUGCGGAGCUAGAGGAUGGUAGAGGGAGGUGGAAUUCCAGGUGUAGUGGUGAAAUGCGCAGAUAUCUGGAGGAACACCAGUGGCGAAGGCGGCCUCCUGGACCAUACCUGACACUCAGACGCGAAAGCUAGGGUAGCAAACGGAAUUAGAGACUCCGGUAGUCCUAGCCCUAAACGAUGCAGACUAGGCGUCGGCGGUUUAAUCACCGUCGGUGUCCAAGCUAACGC